GUGCUGGCUCUGGUGGCACAUACACUAAAACUGGAACAAUAUAGAGGUUAGCAUGGGUCCUGCACAAGAAUGACACACAAAUUCAUGAAGUGUUAAAAAAAAGAUUUUU
rnacentral:snRNA from 1 species